GAUGAACGCUAGCGGCAGGCCUAACACAUGCCAGUCGAGGGAGGAGCUUUCGGGCUUCGACCGGCGUACGGGUGCGUAACGCGUAUACAAUCUGCCUUUCACAUAGGGAUAGCCCGAAGAAAUUUGGAUUAAUACCUAAUGGUAUAUAGAGGUGGCAUCACCUUUAUAUUAAAGCUGAGGCGGUGAAAGAUGAGUAUGCGUUCUAUUAGCUAGUUGGAGAGGUAACGGCUCCCCAAGGCGACGAUAGAUAGGGGUUCUGAGAGGGAUAUCCCCCACACUGGUACUGAGAUACGGACCAGACUCCUACGGGAGGCAGCAGUGAGGAAUAUUGGACAAUGGUCGGAAGACUGAUCCAGCCAUGCCGCGUGCAGGAAGACGGCCUUAUGGGUUGUAAACUGCUUUUGCAGGGGAAGAAUAAGGACUACGCGUAGUUUGAUGACGGUACUCUGCGAAUAAGCAUCGGCUAACUCCGUG
rnacentral:rRNA from 1 species